GACGAACGUUGGCGGCGUGCUUAACACAUGCAAGUCGAACGGAAAGGCCCUGCUUUUGUGGGGUGCUCGAGUGGCGAACGGGUGAGUAACACGUGAGUAACCUGCCCUUGACUUUGGGAUAACUUCAGGAAACUGGGGCUAAUACCGGAUAGGAGCUCCUGCUGCAUGGUGGGGGUUGGAAAGUUUCGGCGGUUGGGGAUGGACUCGCGGCUUAUCAGCUUGUUGGUGGGGUAGUGGCUUACCAAGGCUUUGACGGGUAGCCGGCCUGAGAGGGUGACCGGCCACAUUGGGACUGAGAUACGGCCCAGACUCCUACGGGAGGCAGCAGUGGGGAAUAUUGCACAAUGGGCGGAAGCCUGAUGCAGCAACGCCGCGUGCGGGAUGACGGCCUUCGGGUUGUAAACCGCUUUCGCCUGUGACGAAGCGUGAGUGACGGUAAUGGGUAAAGAAGCACCGGCUAACUACGUGCCAGCAGCCGCGGUGAUACGUAGGGUGCGAGCGUUGUCCGGAUUUAUUGGGCGUAAGGGGCUCGUAGGUGGUUGAUCGCGUCGGAAGUGUAAUCUUGGGGCUUAACCCUGAGCGUGCUUUCGAUACGGGUUGACUUGAGGAAGGUAGGGGAGAAUGGAAUUCCUGGUGGAGCGGUGGAAUGCGCAGAUAUCAGGAGGUACACCAGUGGCGAAGGCGGUUCUCUGGGCCUUUCCUGACGCUGAGGAGCGAAAGCGUGGGGAGCGAACAGGCUUAGAUACCCUGGUAGUCCACGCUGUAAACGGUGGGUACUAGGUGUGGGGUCCAUUCCACGGGUUCCGUGCCGUAGCUAACGCUUUAAGUACCCCGCCUGGGGAGUACGGCCGCAAGGCUAAAACUCAAAGGAAUUGACGGGGCCCCGCACAAGCGGCGGAGCAUGCGGAUUAAUUCGAUGCAACGCGUAGAACCUUACCUGGGUUUGACAUGGAUCGGGAGUGCUCAGAGAUGGGUGUGCCUCUUUUGGGGUCGGUUCACAGGUGGUGCAUGCCUGUCGUCAGCUCGUGUCGUGAGAUGUUGGGUUAAGUCCCGCAACGAGCGCAACCCUUGUUCACUGUUGCCAGCACGUUAUGGUGGGGACUCAGUGGAGACCGCCGGGGUCAACUCGGAGGAAGGUGGGGAUGACGUCAAGUCCUCAUGCCCCUUAUGUCCAGGGCUUCACGCAUGCUACAAUGGCUGGUACAGAGAGUGGCGAGCCUGUGAGGGUGAGCGAAUCUCGGAAAGCCGGUCUCAGUUCGGAUUGGGGUCUGCAACUCAACCUCAUGAAGUCGGAGUCGCUAGUAAUCGCAAAUCAGCAACGCUGCGGUGAAUACGUUCCCGGG
rnacentral:rRNA from 1 species